AGAGUUUGAUCAUGGCUCAGGAUGAACGCUGGCGGCGUGCCUUAAGCAUGCAAGUCGAACGGGAUUUUGGAGUCGCAAGAUUUUGAUAUUCAGUGGCGGACGGGUGAGUAUAAGUAAGGAACGUACCCUAAAGUAUCGCAUAGCUCGUCGAAAGACGGGGUAAUUCGGUAUGUGAUCGCAAGAUUAAAGAGGUUAACCCCUCGCUUUAGGAGCGGCCUUAUGUCUAUCAGCUAGUUGGUGGGGUAAAAGCCUACCAAGGCUACGACGGAUAGGGGGUGUGAGAGCACGACCCCCCACAAUGGCACUGAGACACGGGCCAUACAUCUACGGAUGGCAGCAACUGGGAAUAUUCGGCAAUGGACGAAAGUCUGACCGAGCGACGCCGCGUGAGGGAUGAAGGUUUUCGGAUCGUAAACCUCUUUUGCCAAGUCGUCGAGGCUUGGAGAAUAAGCACCUACAAACUACGUGCCAGCAGUCGCGGUAAUACGUAGGGUGCAAGCGUUAUCCGGAUUUACUGGGUGUAAAGUGUCGUGUAGGCGGUAUACCGCAUCGUGUCUGAAAGCCCGAGGCUUAACCUCGGCGUUGGACACGAGAUGGGUAAACUAUGAGGAAUGGAGAGGAAAGGGGAACUCAUGGUGAAGCAGUGAAAUGCGUUGAUAUCAUGAGGAACACCGAAGGCGAAGGCACCUUUCUGGCCAUUAACUGACGCUGAGACACGAAAGCUAGGGGAGCGAAGCAGAUUAGAGACCUGCGUAGUCCUAGCCCUAAACGCAUGUCUGCUAGAUGCCCUGCCGCAAGGUGGGGUGUCGUAAGCUAACGCGUUAAGCAGACCACCUGGGGACUACGAGCGCAAGCUUAAAACUCAAAGGAAUUGACGG
rnacentral:rRNA from 1 species